CAACCAGCCCAGUUCUUCUCAGUGUAUGUAAAAGCAAACUUUAAAUGGCCAGCAGGUUCAGCUUAGCUUAAACACACCCAAAACCCACAUGCAGAUGGGUUGGGAGACUCGGUCAGACGCCACCUGAAACCAUCCUGCAAGACUGCCAGCAUGGUUUGCGGAGGAAUCAGAUAAGCAUUCCCUCCUUUCCCUUCUCUCUCUCCUAGGUGGACCAAAGGGCCAUGAGGACGCGGUGGGCCUGGCUGUGUGCAGCAGAUGGCAGAUGACGGAUGGUGGAGCGGGGCAGCAACGGGGCGUGCUGGCCUUGCAGCGCAGGGGAAGUGGCUGCCAGCUCUGGUCUGAUGGCACUCGGAGUUUGUGUUACAGCAGGGAGGCAGAGAGGCUGUUCUGGGAAAGGGCUGGGGAUGGUGGCCAGUGGAGGAAUACAAAAUGGCAGAACUUGAGAGGGAUGCAGCAGGGCUGAGAUCUCUUGUACACCUGCCUCUGUCUCAGCUGGGUGUAAAGUCCCCGUUUGUCAAGCAAUGGUAAAUCUCUGGGGAGAGGAGGGAAGGAGAAUCUAUGGAGAUGAUCCGAGACAUCCCCAAACUGAAGCCAGAUUCUGCUGGAAAAGUCUGUAAAACCCCAGUACUGUGAGGGGGACCAAGACCUGCUGUAGGGAUCCUUGGGAUUAUGUGUAUCUUGUACUGGAGUAUGUCUGAAGGAGAGCAACAACGCUGGUGGAAAGUCCAGAGCACAAGUCCUGCGAGGAGCAGCUGAGGGCAUGGCGGGGUGGGUGGAGGUCAGCCUGGAGAGAAGGGGGCUCAGAGGAGACCCUGUUGCUCUCUGCGGCUGCCUGACAGGGGCGUGUAGGCAGGUGGGGGUCAGGCUCUUCUCCCAAGUAACAAGCAAUAGGACGAGAGGAAAUGGCCUCAAGUUGCCCCAGGGGAGGUUUAGACUGGAUAUUAGGAAAAAUUUCUUCACAAAAAGAGUUGUCAAGCACUGGAACGGGCUGCCCAGGGAGGUGGUUGAGUCACCAUCCCUGGAGGUGUUUAGUGUAGAUGUGGCACUUAGGAACAUUGUUUAGUGGUAGACUUGGCAGUGUUAGGUUUAUGGUUGGACUCAAUUAUUUUAUGGGUCUUUUCCAGCCUAGAUGGUUCCAUGAUUCCGUGAUUCUAUGAUACUCCAAGUCUGCAUAAAGAUAUUCACUGUGGACGGAAUUCAUUCUGAUCUUCACUUGCUACACCCUCUUCAUCAUCCUUUACACAAUAUAUAUGAGGACCCUGGUGAGCACAUUGACUUGUGUUCGUAGGAUCAGAGAAUAAAUCAGUUGGAAGGGACCUGAGGAGGUCACUCAGCCAAAUCUUCUGCGCAGAGCAGGAGAGCACUUGGGACUUGUUGUUGGGUAGGUUUCCCCCUCUCAGUAGGCAAGAGCUGCUGUAUGAACAUUGUUUUUAUUAAGAGUUUCUGUCUGCUAUUUCAGGCCAUACCUAGAGCUGUACAGACAGCUGGCCCUGGCACCUUGCAAGCUGCUGUUUGCAUUCUGCACAUUUGGGUGACUUCAGGACAGGACUAUAUCACGACCUAUUCUUGCAUUAGCGACCUGCCGUGUCCCACGCCAACCUGCUCAGUUUGGCGGCUUCCCCAGACUCACUGCCUCGGCUCCUGCCCCUUUCCAUGCUGCCCUGAAGCUCCCUCUCAGGGCUGAUGAUCCUUCACUCUGCCUGGAUUCCUAACUCAAACUCCAUGUCAUUCUCCUCCUGCCCUGGGCUACCUUCUCCUCAAGUUCUGCUUUGGUUUAAAACGGGUUUAAAAAUAUCUCCAAAUAUACUCAAUGUGUUUGCAACAUUCUUUGAGUCAGAACAUUGUUGUUGCAGCCUCCGUCCACAUGUUAACUUCCUUUGCCUCCUCUUCUGCUCUCUCCCUGUGACAUACUUUACCAUGGAAAGGGCUGCUCUUUGCAACUACCCAAAAUACAGACUGGGGAAAAAGCUUUGGUAGCUUUUACUGUUGCUUUUUUCUCCAAAUUAUUUGGAAAGGUUUGUGGUGGUUGUUGCCUUUUAAAACUUUAAUGGCAGAUUUCAAUACUGAAGCUUUCCGUCCCGGUAAUGGGGCUUUUACCAGAAAAAGAAGGGGAAGGGAAGCCUGAAGGAGCAGUUAAAUUUUCUUUUCCAACCUCAUUGCAUAAAGAAACCCUGACAGCUUUUACCAACGUUUUCACUUGCAGAAAGGCAAUUUGUUAGUGAUUUGUGGGGUCUGGUUUUACUUUAGAUGAAGACAAAUAAAAGCAGUCUUUGCUACAACACAGUGUGCUUAUCCUUUCUACUCCGGCCCAGGGGCCACGUGCAGGCCUGCUCCUUAGCCAUGGAGCCAGGCGUUGCUCUCGCACCAACAGCACUCUGAAUUCAGGUGCAAUACCCCACACCUUCCUUUGCUAAGUCUAUCAAAAACUGCAGGCUGCCGGAAGGAAGCAGACCUGCAACAGCUGGGAGAAUAAACAGAGUUCAGGGCUUCCAGCUCCAAACUCAUCAACCCAGGACCUUGCCCCUGGUUCCUGGGCUUGGGGAAAGAUGCUCUUCACAAUGUCUGAUCCAUCCAUGCUGUACGUCAAAAGACUUCCACCACUUUCAGCAGACUCUGCUUUAGCUCCAUAGCACACCGCAAGAAAUACCCAGGAGAGGUGUGCUGCAGCCAGCCCUGAAACCCUGCCAGGAGCAGCCAGAUGAUUAUGGACAUUGCCCUGAGGAACAUGAAGUUCACCAGGGCUCCAGCUUUUGAAAUCCUAACUGUACUCCUGCUGGGAGGUUCCCGAGGCUGUGGUUUCACAGGAAUCUCAAGGAAUCACAGAAAACAGGGUGCCUAAAGGGAUACCAGAUGUCUAAGAGAUGUAUCUGAACCCCACCUCUGGCUCAGGGUUGGUGAGGCACUGGAGUCACCACAGGGAAGAUCAUGGAUCUCCAUCACUGGCGGUUUCUAAGGAUAAGGAGAAGAAACAUCCAUCAGGACUGGCACAGGGUGCAGACUGUUCUGUGCUGUGCACUGUGAAAGCAUACAAAUAAAUAUGAUCCCUGCUCUGGAGCUCGCCGCACCAGUUGACCGAGAGUAACUCAAGUAUGGACCCAGCCCAAAGGCCCUUCCCGGGCAGGGAAGGCAGCCCUGCAAGCCCCCACGCUGUCCCGCCGGCCAGGGCUUGGUGAGCGGGGGCUGCGGGCUGACAGCUGACGUCCUCCCCAGCCCAUUUCCUCCGGCUGCUGCCAAGCCAUUCGCAGAGCACUUCUCAAAAAUGAAUUUUCUGGAAAACAAAUUAAAGGAGGGGUUACAUCACGCAGCAGACAGCCCAACCGCCGCUCGGCUGCACUGACAAAUCCUGCCUGUGUUUUGGACUGCGCCACACGCACCACAUUGCUUGCAGCUGCUGCUGCGCUGGAAUUUGCAGCUCGCCAUCUAAAUAUACUGUAACAAUAAACUGAUCAAAGCAGCUAAA